CAACACAGACAAGGGUGGAGUUUACAGGUAUGAGGGGUCUAGAACCUGAAAAUUAUUUUGAGCUUCCCAUUAGGAAUGUUCAAUGCAAUGAAUUUCAGAGAUUAGAGGGCUUUUUAGGAAUGUUCAAUGCAAUGAAUUUCAGAGAUUAGAGGGCUUUUUCAAUUUAUUUAUUAAGACCCAGAAAUCUAAUAAGCUAAGUAGCUAGAAAAUUAAGAUUCAUUAACAUGCCUUUGAAUUCUCAAGUUCUUGCUGUUGAGGCUCAUACUAAUGGCGUGUUUCAUUGAAAUUCUUUACUAUCUUGUUUGGUGCUAUUGAGUACUAGAUAAACAAUAGUGAAUAUAAUAUCCCCGAUUCCCCAAAUAGAGGCAAGAUGUAUCUGAUAUCAAAUAAUAAAUCGUUUCUAAUCCUUUAAUGCGACUGCGACUAAAAUAUAUCUAAGUUUCUUAAUCUGUUUCCUAUUAAGUUUAUUUGGUUAGCUUAGAACAUUGGUAUGCCUUUUCUAUCUUCUUUUGUUGAUAAUCUUUUAACCUUUUUAA
rnacentral:lncRNA from 1 species